rnacentral:rRNA from 1 species
GACGAACGCUGGCGGCGUGCUUAACACAUGCAAGUCGAACGGAAAGGCCCUGCUUUUGUGGUGUGCUCGAGUGGCGAACGUGUGAGUAACACGUGAGUAACCUGCCCUUGACUUUGGGAUAACUUCAGGAAACUGGGGCUAAUACCGCAUAGGAGCUCCUGCUCCAUUGUGGGGGUUGGAAAGUUUCGGCGGUUGGGGAUUGACUCGCGGCCUAUCAGCUUGUUGGUGGGGUAGUGGCUUACCAAGGCUUUGACGGGUAGCCGGCCUGAGAGGGUGACCGGCCACAUUGGGACUGAGAUACGGCCCAGACUCCUACGGGAGGCAGCAGUGGGGAAUAUUGCACAAUGGGCGGAAGCCUGAUGCAGCAACGCCGCGUGCGGGAUGACGGCCUUCGGGUUGUAAACCGCUUUCGCCUGUGACGAAGCGUGAGUGACGGUAAUGGGUAAAGAAGCACCGGCUAACUACGUG